GAAGAAACCACCAAAACAAUGCUAUGUUUGUUCUUUUAAUUUCGUGGACAAAAGACCGAUAGAAGAACACACGAUGCCAGAAAACUGGUCGGGCUACGAAGUUCCAUUAAAAUCUCCGUGGAGACAUCAAGAGGACAGCAAACACAGAUGACUGCCGCUGUGAUGCAGAGGCUGACUGGACCGCUCCGUAAUCAGUCACCUAUGCAGAAAGAUGCUGAUACUACAGGCACCGAAGGAUCACACCUAGGAGAAGAGAAGAACAGUGCAUGUGUACUCCUCUGGCAUACCAGAGUGUCUCUGACACAUGGAAGAACACAUAAUGUAUUUGCCAGCCACUCAUAUUUCACAUAUAUUACCUGUCCAGGUGUACCCUGCCUCUCGCCAUUGAAUGCUGGAGAUAGGCACCAGCACCCCUCGCUAUCCCAACAAGGAUAAGGGUGUAGGAAAAUGGAUGGUAAUAAAUUAGUACAAAAAGUCAUUCAAGUUUGGGUAAUGUUCUGUCAAAACACCACCUCUUCCUGUCUGUGGAUGUGAGCACACCAUUCUAUAACAGUCUAAUCUUGAAUGGCAAGUUGGAUAAGUACAUCAGGAAGAUAAGUAGAAAAAUAUGGACGGUUUAUAGUUGUCACUACAAACUAUCCAUAUUUUAUAUAAAUAUGAUGACACCAAGUACUGUAAUAUAAAUAAAAAAUAACUGUUCCUUUAACUUUGUUAAAAGGUGCAGUUUGCCGUGGCCAAAGGUCUGACUGGAUUGUCCUGAACAGAUGAGCUGUGCCGUCCCCAAAAGGCUGAAUGAUGGAUGUUUCCUGCACCACAAGAAUUAAACGGCCUACAAAUAUGCCAUAAGUGAAAUGUACUACAUUUAAUGUAAACAAAUUGCAUU